UACAGAGGUCCCAAGCGUUGUUCGGAUUCACUGGGCGUAAAGGGUGCGUAGGUGGUCGGGUAAGUCUGAUGUGAAAUCUCCGAGCUUAACUCGGAAAUGGCAUUGGAUACUAUUCGGCUAGAGGGUUUGAGGGGGGACUGGAAUACUUGGUGUAGCAGUGAAAUGCGUAGAUAUCAAGUGGAACACCAGUGGCGAAGGCGAGUCCCUGGAAAACUCCUGACACUGAGGCACGGAAAGCUAGGGGAGCAAACAGG
rnacentral:rRNA from 1 species